GUGCUCGCUUUAGCAGCACAUAUAUGAAAAUCGGAACAAUACAGAGAAGAUUAGCAUAGCCCAUGGGAAAGGAUGGCAUGCAAAUUCGUGAAGCAUUCCAUAGUUUU
ensembl:snRNA U6 U6 spliceosomal RNA